rnacentral:ncRNA from 1 species
GCACAGAUCUGCUGCGCUGGUUCCUGUCCUAUGACAGGCCAAGAGGGAAUGCGAAAGGUUUGCGCCGCAAGGCCGGACCCGAAUGCAGCCGCCCCCGCGACCGUGACCGGAGAGGUCGCCCGAUACCACUGGCAACAGCCGGGAAGGUGGGCCGGCCGUUGGCGAAAGCCUGAAUCCGCAAGCCGGGAGACCUGCCAGCAGCGAAUAUUGACC